ACAUGUUCUUGCAAAAUGUCUUGUAUUUUUUGACAUGUUGCAAAAUGUCUCGGAAAACUACACAAAACAAUCACCCCACCGCAUAACCGAUUAUCAAAAAUUAAGUAUAAUCCAUUUAAGCGGUUAUACUUUUGCAGUGUUAUCUCUUAAAAAAAAAGCAGGGACCCUUUAAAAUUCCUAAGAUUCGGAGAUGGUAGCAAUCAAGCAUGCAGUGUGAAAGUCAAAAAUCAAGAGGCGUUUUAUUUAUAUUUCCGUCAUUUUUACUGUCCUGUAAGCUAUAAGGGUCUACAACCUCCUUGCAUAAUACAGAUUUAUUUGGCAGAAAAAUUGAAGACAGGUCUACGUAACAAAGGAAGAAAACGACCGAACACGUCAAACUUGUUUACUUUGGUUGCACUGCCUGCAUUAGGUAGCAUGAGGCAGCAGGAACAAGAGAAUUUGGAGUAAGUUAUCCUAUUGUAUCAGCAGAACAAACCAGAAAAUGGGAACAAAAUCUUGGAUUAUUUCCUUAGGACUUAGGUUCUAGUUUCAUCGUACACUUUCAAGGUAGAGUUCGAGAUUGUGAAAUUAGAAGCAGAUAUGAUGCAUCUGUUGGUAUGUAUCAUGCCACCACUACCAUUCCAUGAAAUUCAUAUGUUCACUGAGGUUUAGAUAAGUUCCUGAUAGGGUGUCCCUUGAAAUAACUAGAUCUACCCAUCUACCUUAUGCUGAGAAGAAAGGAUAGCAUAGAUGAAAAGAACAUUACCCAUAUAAAUCAAUCGGAACCAUUAUAAGAUCCACAUGCUUACUAGUGGGUGUGACUAAGUACAUAGUCAUAGUAGGAGUUCGGAUGUUUUCUACUUAUUUAUAUAGUAGUGAUACAAGUUCAAGUCAAAGAUCCAGGUAAAUUAAAUGAGAUGACUAUACUUUUUUUUCUGGCAGAGCAGCUUGGUCUUUCCGUUGAAAUGUUAACAAGAUCGGAGCAUCGUAAAUAAUUCAAUGGUUUUUAUGUAUAUUACUGCAUAUUACUUGCCACAAUAACAAAAGAGGAUUGCAAUUAGGAAUUUAGCAUGAUGAGUAAAAAUCAACCUUGUGAGAAAACACUAUCGGAUGAAGAAAUCGUUGCAGAAAAUCGAAAAUCGCACCGAUCGAGCUCAAAACCGACAAAAAUUCAAAAAACCUUACUCCAAUCGUACGGACAAUGGCGCAAAAAAAUAUUCGGAAACACAAAAAUCAAGUACUCAGUUAUUGAAUGGAAGAGACAUAUGAAGAGAGAGAAAAUGAACCUGGAAGAA